rnacentral:rRNA from 1 species
AUUGAACGCUAGCGGCAGGCUUAACACAUGCAAGUCGAGCGGGGAAGGGUAGCUUGCUACCUAACCUAGCGGCGGACGGGUGAGUAAUGCUUAGGAAUCUGCCAUUUAGUGGGGGACAACAUUCCGAAAGGAAUGCUAAUACCGCAUACGUCCUACGCGAGAAAGCAGGGGAUCUUCGGACCUUGCGCUAAAUGAUGAGCCUAAGUCGGAUUAGCUAGUUGGUGGGGUAAAGGCCUACCAAGGCGACGAUCUGUAGCGGGUCUGAGAGGAUGAUCCGCCACUCUGGGACUGGGACACGGCCCAGCCUCCUACGGGAGGCAGCAGUGGGGAGUAUUGGACAAUGGGCGGAAGCCUGAUCCAGCCAUGCCGCGUGUGUGAAGAAGGCCUUAUGGUUGUAAAGCACUUGAAGCGAGGAGGAGGCUACUUAGAUUAAUACUCUAGGAUAGUGGACGUUACUCGCAGAAUAAGCACCGGCUAACUCUGUGCCAGCCGCCGCAGUAA